rnacentral:tRNA from 1 species
AGUAAAGUCAGCUAAAGAAGCUCUCGGGCCCAUACCCCGAACAUGUUGGUUAGAAUCCUUCCCUUACUA